UCGUGACCUGACCAAAACAGACCGCGCACGCGUUAUCCAGCCUGCCGGCGGCGGCACCGUUCGUCGCUCGGCCAAGUCCUCGACAACCUCCUCUUCUCGGAGUGGGGGAUCGGGGUAAAAGAACCCACGACGCCUAAGGCGUCAAGGAACACUGUGCCUAGUCCGGGGACGCGGACGGCUUGCUGGCCGCCCCCGUGCUGCAAUGCUAUUUAAUCUACACGACUCUCGGCAACGGAUAUCUCGGCUCUCGCAUCGAUGAAGAACGUAGCGAAAUGCGAUACCUGGUGUGAAUUGCAGAAUCCCGCGAACCAUCGAGUCUUUGAACGCAAGUUGCGCCCGAGGCCAUUCGGUCGAGGGCACGCCUGCCUGGGCGUCACGCAAAACACGCUCCCACACCCUCAUCGGGGAGCGGGACGCGGCAUGUGGCCCCCCGUCGCGCAAGGGGCGGUGGGCCGAAGAUAUGGCUGCCGGCGUAUCGCGCCGGACACAGCGCGUGGUGGGCGACCUCGCUUUACUUACCGCAGUGCAUCCGGCGCGUAGCUACGUGAUGGCCUCGAAGGACCUAUGAACGGUGCGCACGACGCUCCGACC
rnacentral:misc_RNA from 1 species